AUUGAACGCUGGCGGCAGGCCUAACACAUGCAAGUCGAGCGAGCGGCGGACGUGUGAGUAAUGUAUGGGGAUCUGCCCGAUAGAGGGGGUUAACUACUGGAAACGGUUGCUAAUACCGCAUACUAUCGGAUGAACCCAUCUGGGAUUAGCUAGUAGGUGGGUGAAAGGCUAACCUAGGCGACGAUCUCUAGCUGGUCUGAGAGGAUGAUCAGCCAAACGGGGAAUGAAACACGGCCCAGACUCCGACGGGAGGCAGCAGUGGGGAAUAUUGAACAAGGGGCGUAAGCCUGAUGCAGCCAUGCCGCGUGUAUGAAGACGGCCUUAGGGUUUUAAAGUACUUUCAGCGGGGAGGCGUUACCCGCAGAAGAAGCAACGGCUAACUCAGUGACAGCAGCCGCGGUAAUAC
rnacentral:rRNA from 1 species